GGCAAGGCCACAAGCAAACCAGAGCAUGGAGAUGGGAAAGAGAGGCUAGAAACAGGGCAAUGCAAGUUCCUGCAGAGAUUGGAGCUGAGCGUUCCUUCCUGGCAGUUGGAAAAAUAUGGCUUGCAAGAUAGAGUGUCAAGCCCUUCAGGGAAGGAAGAAAGAGGGCAAGUUGUGAUGGGGGUAAUGAAAAUUUUCCUUUUCCAACUUGCUCAGAACAUUUUAGCCACCCACUUUACCCAGACCUCCAUGCUGGCGGGACUCAGAGGACAAACGAGCAUUUUUUUGGAGUUGUCUAGCAUAGCGGGCCUUCUCUUUGGCUUACCUGCAGGGAGCCAGCCCGCCUGCCAGCUGUAUGCAGAGGACCUGAACACGGGACCCAUCUUCUUUGGUGCACACUGUCUCUGGGUAGGAAGAAUGCUAUUUUUUGUUUAG